GACGAACGCUGGCGGCGUGCUUAACACAUGCAAGUCGAACGGAAAGGCCCUGCUUUUGUGGGGUGCUCGAGUGGCGAACGGGUGAGUAACACGUGAGUAACCUGCCCUUGACUUUGGGAUAACUUCAGGAAACUGGGGCUAAUACCGGAUAGGAGCUCCUGCUGCAUGGUGGGGGUUGGAAAGUUUCGGCGGUUGGGGAUGGACUCGCGGCUUAUCAGCUUGUUGGUGGGGUAGUGGCUUACCAAGGCUUUGACGGGUAGCCGGCCUGAGAGGGUGACCGGCCACAUUGGGACUGAGAGACGGCCCAGACUCCUACGGGAGGCAGCAGUGGGGAAUAUUGCACAAUGGGCGGAAGCCUGAUGCAGCAACGCCGCGUGCGGGAUGACGGCCUUCGGGUUGUAAACCGCUUUCGCCUGUGACGAAGCGUGAGUGACGGUAAUGGGUAAAGAAGCACCGGCUAACUACGU
rnacentral:rRNA from 1 species